GAGGAAAAGAAACUAACAAGGAUUCCCCUAGUAACUGCGAGUGAAGCGGGAAAAGCUCAAAUUUAAAAUCUGGCAGUCUCUGGCUGUCCGAGUUGUAAACUAGAGAAGUGUUAUCCGUGCUGGACCAUGUAUAAGUCUCCUGGAACGGAGCGUCGUAGAGGGUGAGAAUCCCGUCUUUGACAUGGACCACCAGUGCAUUGUGAUGCGCUCUCAAAGAGUCGAGUUGUUUGGGAAUGCAGCUCAAAAUGGGUGGUAAAUUCCAUCUAAAGCUAAAUAUUGGCGAGAGACCGAUAGCGAACAAGUACCGUGAGGGAAAGAUGAAAAGAACUUUGGAAAGAGAGUUAAACAGUACGUGAAAUUGUUGAAAGGGAAACGCUUGAAGUCAGUCGCAUUGGCUGGGGAUCAACCUUACUUGUGAGGUGUACUCUCUAGUCAAUGGGUCAGCAUCAAUUUUGACUGCUGGAAAAAGGUCGGGGGAAUGUGGCAUCUCAGGAUGUGUUAUAGCCCCUAAUCAUAUACAGUGGUUGGGAUUGAGGAACUCAGCACGCCGCAAGGCCGGGUAUCUACCACGUUCGUGCUUAGGAUGCUGGCAUAAUGGCUUUAAUCGACCCGUC
rnacentral:sRNA from 1 species